rnacentral:rRNA from 1 species
UACGUAGGGUGCAAGCGUUGUCCGGAAUUAUUGGGCGUAAAGAGCUCGUAGGCGGUUUGUCGCGUCGAAUGUGAAAACCCGGGGCUCAACCCCGGGCCUGCAUUCGAUACGGGCAGACUAGAGUUCGGUAGGGGAGUCUGGAAUUCCUGGUGUAGCGGUGAAAUGCGCAGAUAUCAGGAGGAACGCCGGUGGCGAAGGCGAGACUCUGGGCCGAUACUGACGCUGAGGAGCGAAAGCGUGGGGAGCAAACAGG